AUUGAACGCUGGCGGCAGGCCUAACACAUGCAAGUCGAACGAGUGGCGGACGGGUGAGUAAUGUCUGGGAAACUGCGCGAUGGAGGGGGAUAACUACUGGAAACGGUAGCUAAUACCGCAUACCCUCGGAUGUGCCCAUAUGGGAUUAGCUAGUAUGGGGGGUAACGGCUCACCUAGGCGACGAUCCCUAGCGGGUUUGAGAGGAUGACCAGCCACACUGUAACUGAGACACGGUUCAGACUCCUACGGGAGGCAGCAGUGGGGAAUAUUGCACAAUGGGCGAAAGCCUGAUGCAGCCAUGCCGCGGGUAUGAAGAAGGCCUUCGGGUUGUAAAGUACUUUCAGCGAGGAGGCGUUACUCGCAGAAGAAGCACCGGCUAACUCCGGGCCAGCAGCCGCGGUAAUUC
rnacentral:rRNA from 1 species